AGCGAACGCUGGCGGCAGGCCUAACACAUGCAAGUCGAACGGACCCUUCGGGGUUAGUGGCGGACGGGUGAGUAACACGUGGGAACGUGCCUUUAGGUUCGGAAUAGCUCCUGGAAACGGGUGGUAAUGCCGAAUGUGCCCUUCGGGGGAAAGAUUUAUCGCCUUUAGAGCGGCCCGCGUCUGAUUAGCUAGUUGGUGAGGUAAUGGCUCACCAAGGCGACGAUCAGUAGCUGGUCUGAGAGGAUGACCAGCCACAUUGGGACUGAGACACGGCCCAAACUCCUACGGGAGGCAGCAGUGGGGAAUCUUGCGCAAUGGGCGAAAGCCUGACGCAGCCAUGCCGCGUGGAUGAUGAAGGUCUUAGGAUUGUAAAAUCCUUUCACCGGUGAAGAUAAUGACUGUAGCCGGAGAAGAAGCCCCGGCUAACUUCGUGCCAGCCGCCGCGGUAA
rnacentral:rRNA from 1 species